GCCCAGUCGUGUGUUUUUUAAGCCCGAUUUUCGCUUGUUAGGGGUAACAGCUGUAAGAUAUGGCGCAAGGCAUGCGUGUGAAGUUGUUCGGAUUGGACAGAAAACGGGGCCAGUGUAUAAAUUGGUAUAUGCACGUCAGAAAUCGUUUGACAGUUGGAACUCAACGAUUGUCUUGUGGACUCCCCUGCCGGGUCAAGUCAAGUUGCCCUCGCAUUUACACAGGUAAAAACAUAUGCCAGUAUACCUUAUCAACCCUUCACGAAUUGUACAAGGGCUUCUGUUUGCUAACUGACUCUCACGUGAUGAUAGCUGGGCUACAUGCAUAGAAUUAUAUUCUAGCUGAAUGGUUGGAUCGCGCCCACGAUCAUUGUGCUAAAGAUUUGAUAACACACAGUUGAAUACUGUACAUCUGUGUCACUGUUGGUAUCACAAUUAACAAACUAUUUUAUGUCUUAAAUGUUUGCUUGUCUUUGUGGAGUGUAAACCUUGGAUUUGAGUGUUUUAUAUCUUGGAAGUCGUAAGCAUUAAUUUUAGAUACAUUUAAAUGACAAGGUUUGGAUAUAAUAUAUUUAUGUGCAAUGUUGCCAACGCCAAUCAACUGUAACGUACAUUAUGUGCACUGAACAAAAUAGAUAAUAUCCAAUCAUUCGUGGAUUAUUAACAUAGUCUUUCAUUGGAUUAAAUGGACCGGAGAAACACUGAUGUUGCCGUAAUAGAAACAGAGCUUAAUUGGGAUUUGACGACCGAAUUUGAUUGUUGAAUAAUUUCACCCUAAGACCAAGUUGAUUUUUAUCAGUUCUACUUGCCAUGGAGGAAUUUGAUUACCGAUUUAAGGUGAUUUUAUUGGGUGACUGUGGUGUGGGUAAAACUUCAUUGAUACGAACUCUCAGCCAAAAAACUGACUCAAAUGUUGGAGGGUGUUGUUGUUAUUCCUCUACACCAAAUGCAAGUGCUGAGUUAGAAUUCAAGAAACAUGGGCGACGAGUUAAAGUCCAUGUUACUGAUACAGGUGGUCAAGAAAGAUACAGAAGUUUGACUACAUCUUACUUUCGUGGAGCAGACGGCUGUUUAAUAAUGUAUAAUGUAAACAACACCACUUCUUUUGAGAAUGUUCCAAACUGGUCUGAAACACUGGAGAAUAAUACGUGCAAGAACAUCCUCACAACCUUAUUGGCAGGAACUCGAAGACAAACAUCAGAUGAUGCACAAGUGCCAGAAGCAAGAGUACGUAAAAUGUCCGAUUAUCUCGAAGUGCCAUGUGUUCAAAUUGACUUGGAUAACGUUUCAAAUAUCAUUGAAGUGUUCGAACAACUUGUUGACAUUAUGAUUAACAAAUACCGAAUACGAGAAUCAAUUGCGGUGGAACUAAGGCGUCCAUCAGCAGCUGCGAUACAGGAUAAACACAAAUUUCAGUGUAUAUGUUGAAACAACGAAAAGAACAUGACUUCUGAGUGUUAGAACUGUACUUGUCUUUUUCAUCACCAACUUCAAUGCUAGACUAUGAAUGUUAAUGGGUUUUAGAUAAACCCAUAAUUGGUGCAGCGUACUUGAAAUAACAACAUCGAACAUCCCCAGAAAUGUUAGAAAUUUCAAUAGCGCAUUGAUGUUAAACUAUGAACGUUAAAAGGUUUUAGUUACUAGAUAAACGCAUAAUUGGUGCAGUGUACUUGAAAUAAUACAUCCAGCCUCGCCAGAAAUGGUAGAAAUCUAAAUUGCACACUUGAUGCUAGACUAUAAAUGUUAGAAAGUACCCCCUAGAAAGACACUUAGUCCCUCUAAUGAAUAUAUUCCCGGGCUUACUAUAGGAUCCAGUUACUGGAUUAAAACACAUGCAGAAUAGGUUCUGUUGGGUUUAAGGUCUUGUUCACUAAACCCCUUGAAUUUCUUAGCCUUCAAGAAAGUAGAAUGUCAAUGUGUAUGGCAUGACUACUUCACUGUCACAAUUGAAAUUUUUACUCUAGUCUUUCUUGUAAGUGGAUUAACAAUUUACAGUACAGGAUAAGCCAGAAGAAAAAUAUCCGCUAUCGCUGUAGAGAAAUGGCUUGGCAUUUUAUUUUUCAGGAAUUAAUUAUGUGAAAUCCGUUUAUAUGUGUUGACCUUUAAGUUAAAUUUAGAUAAAUUCUGGAAACAAGCUUUUACAUUAAACAUUUAAGCAAGGUUUGAAAUAAACGUUGGAAGUCGAAAGCGUAAGAAGUUGUAUGAGCGAAAUAAAACGACUUUAUUGUGAAAUUCUUUCAUUUAACAAGUUUUGCUUAUGUUCUUCUUUGGCUGUAUAAAGUUGAUAUUUUUAUUGCCAUGGUAAACUUCCCAUUCCCCCAAAUAGGUGCAGCGGGACUAUCUAUGUUGUUUAUUUUUUCGCCCCCGACGUUCGAAGAAAACAAGGGACUAUUAAAAUGGGUUCGUCCGUCUGCCUGUCUGUCUGUCACACUUUUUGGGACACAAUAACUCUCUUUCUAAUUGAGCUAGAAUGUUCAAACCAUGGUGUAGGUGUUUAUUAGGUCAAUGUCUUGAUGGUGUUUGAAGAUUAGCAUUUUCUUCGUAGGGUAAGCACAGAUGAGCAAUUUGAUUGGUUGAUGCUUUGGGACACGAUAACUUUAGUUGUAAUUAAGUGAGAGUGAUGAAAUUUGUGUUUAUAGUUUUAUUAAAACAAUACUUUGACUAAGUUCGAUAAUGAGCAUUUUCUGCUCAGGGUAAGCAGAGCGAUAAGCAAUUUGAUUGGUUGAGACCUUGGAACACAAUAACUCUCAUUCUAAUUGAGCUAUAAUGUUCACAUUUGGCGUAGGUGUUUAUUAGGUGAAUGCCUUGAUUGAGUUCGAUGAUAAACAUUGUCCUCUUACGGUCAGCAGAGAUAAGCAAUCUGAUUGGUUGAUGCUUUGGGGUACGAUAACUUUGGUUUUGAUUAAGUGGGAGUGAUGAAACUCUGAGUAUAGAUUCAUUAUAUCAUUACCUUGACUAAGUUUGUUGAUGUGAAUUUUCUGCUUAGGCUAAGGAUCAAUAAGCAAUUUGAUUGGUCAAGACUUUUGAACAUAACAACUCUGCUUUUAAUUGAGGUAGAAUGUUUAAACUUGAUGUAGAUGUUCAUUAGGUGAAUGUCUUGACUGAGUUCAAUGAUUAACAUUUCGAGCUAAAGCUAACCAGCGCUAAGCAAUUUCAUUGGUCGAUGCUUUGGGACAAAAUAACUUUGAUUCUAUCUGAUAGAGAGUGAUGAAACUUAGUGUAUAGGUGAUAAUUUGUUUGAUUGCAUGAUACUUUUGAAAAAAAUAAAUAUGCGAUUAGUGAAUAUGUGUCAUCUAUUUAUUUUGGGAUUUCGGCGGGGGACAUCAGCCUCACUGUUGGCUUGUUUCUUUUUUUGUCCCUACAUAAAGCACCUUGUUAGCCAAAAACAAAUAAUAUAUAAGCAGAUUAAUAGCUUUAAAAACAAAUUCUGUUUUCAUUUCUCAAAGUAAAAUCAGCAAUGUGCAAGAUAAUUUGGUUUCCUUUCUUAGAGGUGUCUAAAUUGUGUUAUUGCCUGCUAAUAACACAGCACUAAUUCCCUGGUCACUCCCAACACAAGAAGUUAUUUUCAUAGGCUUGAACUUCAUAUCUCAUAUUAAGUGUUAAUGCAUUUAAAUAGAAGAAAGAUUUGUGAUAUUUUACAUAUUUAUACACAUUAUGUACUAUAAACAAUCGACAUUCUUAUCAUUUAAUAAAUAUUUGUG